CUUCUUGAGUGAUAGAUCAUGCCACAUCUAAUUUAUGCAAAAAUUCAUAUCUACAUUUACCAAUUUUUAUGAUUGGAAUUAGAUUGCAUACUGCUGUAGAAAUACAUUUUUGCAUGUCCAGAUUUUCAGCUUUGAUGCAGAUGUUAUAAAUUAUUCAACUCAAUCCAUAGGAUAAUUGCUGAGGUUGGCAUUACUUAUCGUAGCGCACAAAAAUAUCAGCAAGAAUCAUGAUGGAUACUGGAGUGGCUGAAUGGAUCUGAAUGCAUGACAGAAACUUUGGUGUUGUUUGGAAGAUCAGGAGAUCCUGUCUCAAGACUCUCAACAAAGAAGAUUGUUGUAUGAUCUAGGCAAAGGACACCAACCGAAAUGAUGGAACUGGAUUGAUGGUUGAGUUGAGAGGGGCAGACAGGAAGCUGCAGUUGGGACACUCUGACACUACAAAGGCUCUCUUCAAUCAAACGAGUGAGACGUAGACAUCUGCUUGUAGAGAAGGCCUGCGUAAGAGAGUCCACAGUGAUUUUGUAAAUGAAAGUUGCAGAAACUGUUUUGCUUGGUGGAUAUGGAAGUUGACAAGCAGCUAAAAACAUACCCUUGAGCAUUUGAGCUCAAGUCUUAGCAAUUGCACGUCCAACUUAGAUGUAAACAAAAUUCCUGCAGAGUUCAUGGAUCCCUGACCUAAAAUUCUUUAGUAAAUGACACUCAAGCAUUUGAGCUAAACAAUGAUGAUAAAGCAACGAUAAUUCCCAGGGACCUACAUCAUUAGAACCCUGAGAUUGAGUGGAAAUCAGACAGUGUACUCAGAGAUUCAGAACAAGUAAUUGGGAGGAUCAAGGUCCUCAUCUAUUGUGGCAGACAUCACUAUGUGCUGCACAUAGUUACAUCUGUUUUGCACACCUUUAUGCUUAAGCAUGGACAGGACCGGGACUAAACAGUAAAUGGCCAUUGAAGUUAAGGGGUAGAGUAAAAUUGCUGGUCAACAGGAAGAGAUUGUAAAAUGGCAGUCUAACAAAGAACUGGCCAUCAAUCAACACCAAUUUUCAUAGCAAUACAAACCAAGCAUGACAUGAAUCAUGCAAACGAACAGUUAAGGCUUUAUUGUCUUCCAUAUGCUGGGGCCAGCUUUCAGGACUUUUCAGUGGACAUAUAUGAUGCGAAACAAGUGUUGCAAAUAAUAUGCAUGUGAUGGUACAUAACCGUAACACCAGACUACAUCAUGCAGCGUCUUGGCAAUUUCUAUAGCAAAAAGAAGAGUGCUAUUUUUCAUACUCGGUGAUUUAAUAGAUACCAGAUUACUUGCAGUAAAAAGAUCAACUUUAUCCAAGAAGAGAUGGCAAAACUAAUAUAAACAUACUAAUUUGCGCAUUUGUACACUGCCAAAGAAGAAGCUCAUUUAUCAGUUGUUGAUAAUGUUGCGUAAGAAUUGGACAUACCAUCACUUCUGAAGUUGCAUUUAGCACUUGAUGAUUC